rnacentral:piRNA from 1 species
CCUCAGAGAAAACAAGGGAUGUUUAAGGGG